CGGACGGGUGAGUAAUGUAUGGGGAUCUGCCUGAUGGCGGGGGAUAACUACUGGAAACGGUAGCUAAUACCGCAUAACGUCGCAAGACCAAGAGGGGACCUUCGGGCCUCUUGCCAUCGGAUGUGCCCAGAUGGGAUUAGCUAGUAGGUGGGGUAACGGCUCACCUAGGCGACGAUCCCUAGCUGGUCUGAGAGGAUGACCAGCCACACUGGAACUGAGACACGGUCCAG
rnacentral:rRNA from 1 species